rnacentral:rRNA from 1 species
GGGCCCGCACAAGCGGUGGAGUAUGUGGUUUAAUUCGACGCUACGCGAAGAACCUUACCGGGGCUUGACAUCCCGUGCAAUCUGUUGAAAGACAGAGUUCCCGUUUGGGACAUGGAGACAGGUGGUGCAUGGCUGUCGUCAGCUCGUGUCGUGAGAUGUUGGGUUAAGUCCCGCAACGAGCGCAACCCUUGUCCUUAGUUGCCAGCGCGUAAAGGUGGGCACUCUAAGGAGACUGCCGGUGACAAACCGGAGGAAGGUGGGGAUGACGUCAAGUCAUCAUGCCCCUUAUGUUCCGGGCUACACACGUACUACAAUGGUCUGUACAGAGGGUAGCGAAGCCGUGAGGCAGAGCCAAUCCCAGAAAGCAGAUCUCAGUUCGGAUUGCAGGCUGAAACUCGCCUGCAUGAAGUUGGAAUCGCUAGUAAUCGCAGGUCAGCAUACUGCGGUGAAUACGUUCCCGGGCCUU